rnacentral:rRNA from 1 species
ACGAACGCUGGCGGCUGCUUAACACAUGCAAGUCGAACGGAGUGGCGAACGGGUGAGUAACGCGUGAGCAACCUGCCUAUGACAGUGGGAUAGCCUCGGGAAACCGGGAUUAAUACCGCAUAGUCAUAGAUGGGCUCGCGUCUGAUUAGCUAGUUGGUGAGAUAACAGCACACCAAGGCGACGAGCAGUAGCCGGUCUUGGAAGAUGCACGUCCACGUUGGAACUGAGACACGGUCCAGACUCCUACGGGAGGCAGUAGUGGGGAAUAUUGCAAAAUGGGGGAAGCCCUGAUGGAGCGACGCCGCGUGAACGAAGAAGGUAUUCGUAACGUAAAGUUCUGUCCUAUGGGAAGCGGUACCAUAGAAGAAAGCUCCGGCUAAAUACGUGCCAGCAGCCGCGGUAAUAC